rnacentral:rRNA from 1 species
UAUUGCGCAAUGGAGGCAACUCUGAUGCAGUGACACCGCGUAUAGGGAGAAGGUUUUCGGAUCGUAAACUAUUUUAGACAGGGAAGAAAAAAGACAGUACCUGUAGAAUAAGCUCCGGCUAACUACGUGCCAGCAGCCGCGGUAAUACGUAGGGAGCAAGCGUUAUCCGGAAUUAUUGGGUGUAAAGGGUGCGUAGACGGGACAGCAAGUUAGUUGUGAAAGCCCUCGGCUUAACUGAGGAACUGCAACUAAAACUAUUGUUCUUGAGUGCAGGAGAGGAAAGCGGAAUUCCUAGUGUAGCGGUGAAAUGCGUAGAUAUAUGGAAGAACACCAGUGGCGAAAGCGGCUCUCUGGUCUGUAACUGACGCUGAGGUUCGAAAGCGUGGGUAGCAAACAGG